UACGAAGGGGGCUAGCGUUGCUCGGAAUCACUGGGCGUAAAGCGCACGUAGGCGGCAUUGCAAGUCGGAUGUGAAAUCCCUCGGCUUAACCAAGGAAGUGCAUCCGAAACUGCAGUGCUUGAGUACUUAAGAGGAUCGCGGAAUUCCCGGUGUAGAGGUGAAAUUCGUAGAUAUCGGGAGGAACACCAGUGGCGAAGGCGGCGAUCUGGGAAGAUACUGACGCUGAGGUGCGAAAGCGUGGGGAGCAAACAGG
rnacentral:rRNA from 1 species